AGCGAACGCUGGCGGCAGGCCUAACACAUGCAAGUCGAGCGAACUCUUCGGAGUUAGUGGCGGACGGGUGAGUAACACGUGGGAACGUGCCUUUAGGUUCGGAAUAACUCAGGGAAACUUGUGCUAAUACCGAAUGUGCCCUUCGGGGGAAAGAUUUAUCGCCUUUAGAGCGGCCCGCGUCUGAUUAGCUUGUUGAUGGGGUAAUGGCCCACCAAGGCGACGAUCAGUAACUGGUCUGAGAGGAUGACCAGCCACAUUGGGACUGAGACACGGCCCAAACUCCUACGGGAGGCAGCAGUGGGGAAUCUUGCGCAAUGGGCGAAAGCCUGACGCAGCCAUGCCGCGUGGAUGAUGAAGGUCUUAGGAUUGUAAAAUCCUUUCACCGGUGAAGAUAAUGACUGUAGCCGGAGAAGAAGCCCCGGCUAACUUCGUGCCAGCCGCCGCAGUAACAC
rnacentral:rRNA from 1 species